AUGGCGGUCAUUCUGAUCUCUUGAACACUCUCUAACGGGAUGUAUUAAUAAUUAUUCUUCCGAGCUGUAUUUGAAAUAUGACUGUACAUCUCUAUAUAACCGCUGGCUGAGUAAGUAGAUGUUUUUUGGGUGUAUCUCCCUACGGACCAGAAAACUGUCUUUUUCCGCACGAUUUGCACACAAAUUUGUGCGGUAUUUGAAGUCACACUCCACUCAACUUGAUCGUGAAUGACUGCCGUACCAUAUCUGACUAUUUCAAGGGUCAUACCAAAGCAAAAGAUGAUAUAGAUGCUAGUGGUGCCUUUAAAAAGCUAUAAUUUGAGUGCACUGAUCGUCGUGAGGCAAAUAACAUUUUAGAUUGUUGUACGCAAGACGGAUAGCUGAAGUUAUAUAUUCAAAGGAGAAUUUUUUUGAGUUUUGAUUUCAAAACUUCUCUGACUUGCUUGCAUUUUUUACACGAUGCUCAAAUAACACUCAAAUUUCUAGGAACAGGACGUAAAGUUGAAGCUUUCCACAUUACCUGGAGAGCUUCAGGUAGUGUGCACGAAUUUUCCGAGCUCCGUGUAAAAUUAUUUGUCAACUGUCUGGCUUGCUACGAUUAGCUCUUGGCUAUUUGCAAGCCAGCCUAAUAAUAACCAUCUGAAGUGAACAAAUAAAAAACUACCUUGACUUUGACUUUGACUUUGAAGGUACUUCAUCACGGUGGUGAUAGAAUUUAUAUUCAUUAACAUUAAGCUUAAAGUAUUAGAAGAGCAAAUAACGUCCUGUUAUCAUGGGGUAACGCUCUGAUAAAGUAUGCAGUACUGCAUACUACGUGGUUCUUGGACUAAGCAUAGUAGUUUAAAUGAAACUUUUCACAAUUUUCAUGCUGGUGUGAGGGUUUUGCAAAAAUCAAGGAGCAAGAGCCUCACUCACAAGAGACUGAUGACUGAAACUUGGAUGGAAGCAUUCUUCAAAAGGAUGCUUACUGCACCAGUCGACGUAAUGCCUUAUACAGAUUAGAGUUUAUGACCUCCUUUGGGAGAUGUAACACCACAACUCUGAAGGCUGUAGAGGUUGAGCAUGUGUUUGCUGUUAAGGAGUGGAUGUUGCCCUUUCCAACCAUGCUUUGCAACAUUUCAAGCCUUGCAUUUGAAUUUACUAAAGCUCCAUCUGGAAAAGUUGUCAUGCAGUACAAGAAGAGGGGAAGUGACAAACAGGAAAACUAAAAACCCAUUAGCCCUGAUCCAGAGCAGUGGUUAACAAAAGUGAAAGUGUAUAGUGAAGCUUAUAGAAGGCAGACUGCUGUGGUUACUGAGGUGGAUAACUUUCAAAGGAGUUCUACCAGACAGCAUUGUAGCAGUUAAUCUUGAUGGCAACUACAAACCUCCCCAUCUGGCAAAAGUAACAGAAGUCACUAACUCCUCCUUCACUAUGCAGUGGCUAAAGGUUAGUUAGAAGGGAAAGUGGGUAUUAUGGCCUGGAUGGACUUCUUGCCAAAUUCCUAAAGAAAGUGUAAUUUAUUUUGAUAUUGAAUUGGAUGAGAAUGAUAAACUAAGAAAGGUGUCUGCGCAGUACUUAAGGAGGAGUUACAAAGGGUUAAAAAAAAAUGGUGCCAUAUGCACAGAUAUAAUUAUGUAGAUCCUUGCUUUUCCAUUGAAACUUAAGACAUUUGAGGUCAUUUAAGUCCCAGCAUGUCUAAGCUGGGAAUUUUUUAAAAUCUCUAGAACUACUGAGAUAAUAGAAUGUAGCAUACUAGUAUUCAAUUAUUUUGGUCCAAACAUUUUUAUAAUUGACUCUGGACAUUUCUGUAGAUAUGCCAAUAUUUAAUUUCCAGUAACAUGAUAAGUUGUAAAAAAAUGUUCAUUACAUAGGCUCCAGAUAUUUGUAUGGAAAUUUCCCAAGAUCUAUAAAUGUCUAGUUAUGUUUAAAGUAAAAUGCAAGAUGCUUGAUCAUAUUUGAUGUAGGCAUGUGCAUGGAAAUUUCCAUAGAUCUUCUUUUAACAUGGGUAUGGAAAUUUCCAUAGAUCUUCCAGAAACAUGGUAAAAUGUAAGAUGUCUAUUGAUAAUUGAUCCAGACUUGUGUAUGGAAAUGUCCACAGAUCUUCUAUUAACAUGGAAAAAUGUAAAAUGUUGAGUAAUAAACAAUCUAUAAAUGUUUAUGGAAAUUUCCAGGGAUCUUGCAGUGACAUGGUAAAACAAAAGCUGUUCAGUCAUAAUUGAUCGACACUUGUGCAUGGAGAUUUCCAUAGAUCUGUUAAUAACAUGGUAAAAUGUAGUAUUUUAAGCUAUAAUUAAUCUAGACAUAUGCAUGGAAAUUUCCAUAGAUUUUCCAUCAACAUGGUAAAGUGUAAGAUCUUAAGUUAUGAAGGAUCCACGCAAUGUGUUUGAAAUUUCCAUAGAUCUUCCCAUAACACGGCAAAAUGUAUGAUGUUCAGUUAUAAUCGAUCCACAUAUGUGCAUGGAAAUUUCCAUAGAUCCUUCAUCAAUACUGCAAAAUGUAAGAUGUUGGUUGUAAUCAAUCCAGACAUGUGCAUGGAAACUUGCAUAGAUAUUCCAUUAGUAUUGUAAAAGGUAAGAUGUUCAAUUAUAAUUAAUCCACACAAUAUGCAUGGAAAUUUCCAUAGAUCUUCUAUGGAAUUUCCAUAUAUCUGCUUAAGUAACAUAGUAACAUAGUAUAAUGUAACAUGACUUUUUAAUCCUUUUGGUUUAGACAUCUCUGUCGAAAGUUUUCAGAUAUAUUUGUAAAAAACAAAUUCUCAGCACAAUCAUUGUGAAAUGUGCGAUAGCCAAUUUCUCAUAUGUAAAGAACGUAUGUAUAAAUUUCUGUAUAUAGUUCUCAAAAGAUAUUCAGUUUAGGGUGUAAGAGUUGUUGCAAUCAACUGAACUGUGGAGUAGUUCUUAUAGACUAUUAAACCUCUUUCUUCAGUA